CCUACGGGUGGCAGCAGUCGAGAAUCAUUCACAAUGGGGGAAACCCUGAUGGUGCGACGCCGCGUGGGGGAAUGAAGGUCUUCGGAUUGUAAACCCCUGUCAUGUGGGAGCAAAUUAAAAAGAUAGUACCACAAGAGGAAGAGACGGCUAACUCUGUGCAAGCAGCCGCGGUAAUACAGAGGUCUCAAGCGUUGUUCGGACUCACUGGGCGUAAAGUGUGCGUAGGCUGUUUCGUAAGUCGUGUGUGAAAGGCGCGGGCUCAACCCGCGGACGGCACAUGAUACUGGGAGACUAGAGUAAUGGAGAGGGAGGCGGAAUUCUCGGUGUAGCAGUGAAAUGCGUAGAUAUCGAGAGGAACACUCGUGGCGAAGGCGGGUUCCUGGACAUUAACUGACGCUGAGGCACGAAGGCCAGGGGAGCGAAAGGGAUUAGAUACCCCAGUAGUC
rnacentral:rRNA from 1 species